rnacentral:rRNA from 1 species
UACGUAGGGUGCAAGCGUUAAUCGGAAUUACUGGGCGUAAAGCGUGCGCAGGCGGUUAUGUAAGACAGGUGUGAAAUCCCCGGGCUUAACCUGGGAAUGGCAUUUGGGACUGCAAGGCUUGAGUGCGGCAGAGGAGACUGGAAUUCCUGGUGUAGCAGUGAAAUGCGUAGAUAUCAGGAGGAAUACCGAUGGCGAAGGCAGGUCUCUGGGCUGACACUGACGCUCAUGCACGAAAGCGUGGGGAGCAAACAGG